GUUACUUUAGGAUGUGUUUAGUGUUGUGUUAAAGCAGAUUUAAUUGUAUCCUAUGGUCAUUGAUGUUGUGGCGUCUCCUAUGGAUGCUGAUGUGUGGAUGUUGUGUCGUAUUUUGAUAACUUUGUUGAGCUUGUUUUUAGCUGCAUGUGUUUUCUAUCUUACUGAACGUUUAUUGGUUCAGCUGAUAAGGCUGGUUAUGACUCAAGAGGAGGAGCUGCAGACAGGUGAGGGUGUUAAAGUCCAAAUAUGAAGUCAGACUGCCAGACGCCAUUUUACAGCUCGACUGAGCAGGAGGACAACAGGAUGAGUGAUUUAAAAGAUCACUCACCAGCUGUCUGUCUCUGAAGAGUGACCGGUCUAUGGGGAAACCUAUAACCUUCAGUAAUGAACCUGGACCCUCAGACACAAAGCAGCUGACAGAGCUCGACGCCCGUUUCCAGGAGGACCAGUAUGGAAUAAUGAGAACAGCAGCAGCUAUUCUACCAAAGUCAAAAACAUUUGGCGAGAAGGAUUCUCUGUGCACCGUGUGUGAUCACUAUCACAUCUUAGUUGGGGAUGCGGAAUUAACUGUAUUCUAUGAGCAACUGAAUCGGAAAGUAGCCCAAAAACAAAACUUUCCAUCCCUUAUGGAAGUAUUGGACAGCUGUGCAUCUGACAUUUUUCCAAACUUCAACAAACUCCUUUGAGUCAUCAUUAUCCCUUCCCAUGACCUCUUGUAGUGUUGAGAGACUGUUCUCCACUGUAGGUCGCAUCAAAACCUCCCUCAGAGCAUCCAUGACUACUGUCCGUCUCAACAACCUGUCCCUCUUGUCCUUUGAAAGGGAACUAUGUGACUCUUUGGAUUAUGAUGAGAUCAUCACCAUAAGACACCAUAUUCAACGUUAAACCCAGGCGUUUACGCCUUGUUUAAUAAGGCCACAGCCUAAUAUUGGUGGUGACUCUCCUCCCCUUACUCACUUCCUCCCUCCUAAGGACAUCACCGGUACCCGCACCUGUAGUGGCAGCUCAGAAUGGAUAAGUCUACAAAUACUAUGAGGCUAUAGAAAUGCGUUUUAACUGUUGCUAUUGUUACGUGCUCUUGUUGUUGUUUUUCUCUGUCUCUCUGCUGCGCAGGUAC